rnacentral:rRNA from 1 species
CAGUAGCCGCGGGAAUACGUAGGUCCCGAGCGUUGUCCGGAUUUAUUGGGCGUAAAGCGAGCGCAGGCGGUUUGAUAAGUCUGAAGUUAAAGGCUGUGGCUCAACCAUAGUUCGCUUUGGAAACUGUCAAACUUGAGUGCAGAAGGGGAGAGUGGAAUUCCAUGUGUAGCGGUGAAAUGCGUAGAUAUAUGGAGGAACACCGGUGGCGAAAGCGGCUCUCUGGUCUGUAACUGACGCUGAGGCUCGAAAGCGUGGGGAGCGAACAGGACUAGAUACCCCUGUAGUCCCUGUCUCUUAUACA